rnacentral:misc_RNA from 1 species
GAUGAAGAACGUAGCGAAAUGCGAUAAGUAAUGUGAAUUGCAGAAUUCAGUGAAUCAUCGAAUCUUUGAACGCACAUUGCGCCCCUUGGUAUUCCGAGGGGCAUGCCUGUUCGAGCGUCAUUAUAACCCCUCAAGCUCAGCUUGGUGUUGGGGCCUGCUGCACUGGCAGCCCUUAAAAUCAGUGGCGGCGCCAUCUGGCUCUAAGCGUAGUAAUUCUUCUCGCUAUGGAGUCCUGGUGGAUGCUUGCCAUCAACCCCCAAUUUUUCUAUGGUUGACCUCGGAUCAGGUAGGGAUACCCGCUGAACUUAAGCAAUCAAUAAGCGGAGGA